rnacentral:rRNA from 1 species
UACGGAAGGCAGCAGUGGGGAAUAUUGCACAAUGGGCGAAAGCCUGAUGCAGCUAUGCCGCGUGUAUGAAGAAGGCCUUAGGGUUGUAAAGUACUUUCAUCGGGGAGGAAAAAACAAAACUAAUAAUUUUAUUUCUUGACGUUACCCGAAAAAGAAGCACCGGCUAACUCCGUGCCAGCAGCCGCGGUAAUACGGAGGGUGCUAGCGUUAAUCAGAAUUACUGGGCGUAAAGAGCACGUAGGUGGUUUUUUUAAGUCAGAUGUGAAAUCCCUGGGCUUAACCUGGAACUGCAUUUUGAAACUGAAAUACUAGAGUAUCGUAGAGGGAGGUAGAAUUCUAGGUGUAGCGGUGAAAUGCGUAGAUAUCUGGAGGAAUACCUGUGGCGAAAGCGGCCUCCUAAACGAAUACUGACACUGAGGUGCGGAAAGCGUGGGGAGCAAACAGGGAUUAGAUCC